rnacentral:lncRNA from 1 species
UCCUGGGAAACACUGAAGGUUUAAGGAAAGACUUGGUGAACAGCGAUGUAGAAGUGUUGCAGAGGGGCACAUAUGGUGCCAGUUCCCAUGGCUGCACAUCUGGAGCAAGGCAGAGACAGGGACAGUUAUGUCUGAGCGAGCUGUGAGCAGAGGAUGGUGAAUCCCGAAUCUAGGAGCAGCAUUUUUAUCCGGUCAGAAAAGGUUACAAGAUAUUAAAGAAUUUAGCCAAGAACACAAAGUUGAAAAAAUUGGUAGAUGAGACUCAAUUCUAAGAGCUGGAUGCGCAAGUCUUAACAUUGUUUAAGCAUUAUAGCUAAGGCACCAAAGGAGUUUCAAGAAUAGGCAUUUGAUGCUUUUGGAUAUUUCACAGACAUCAUCCAACAUUUCCUUCUUUUGCCUCAAAGGCAGUAGCAAAGGACCGCCCAGAUCUGCAGGGACCAGUGUGUUGGAAGAUUUACAAGCUACCACGAACAGACAGACAGACGGACAGACUGAAGAUUCACAGUGAGAUUGCGUGAAAGAGGGUAAAUGAGACUUUGAACAGAGCAGGACCAAAAACAAUAGCCAAGUCAUAAAGAAGAAGGGGGCUGGCUCUCAGGCCAGGGGAUCACAUCGGAAGCCAGAUGUUUCCACCACAUUGAACAUGCUCCUUUAAAAUAGUUGAUGGAACAGUUCCACUUUAUUUUUUUAAUCCUAAAAUCUGAUUUCUCUUUCAAUUCAUAAGAUAGUAUACAUUUCUACUCUGCCGGAUCUUCAGAAGACUGACCAAACUCAAGGUUUUGUUUGACAGCCAGCAAAUGGGGCAACUUAUGUGACUAGCCAAAAUUUUCAUGAGUGACCUGACACCCAGCAGAAGAAUCAGAUACUGGCAGAACAAAACUCUUGUUUGAUCUCAUUAUGUUUGACUUUCAUUUUCU